GCACAAGCGGCGGAGCAUGCGGAUUAAUUGGAUGUAGCGAGAUGAACCUUGUCAAGACUUGACAUGCACGAGAAGCCACCAGAGAUGGUGGUCUCUUUGGACACUCGUGCACAGGUGGUGCAUGGUUGUCGUCAGCUCGUGUCGUGAGAUGUUGGGUUAAGUCCCGCAACGAGCGCAACCCUCGUCCCAUGUUGCCAGCGGGUUAUGCCGGGGACUCAUGGGAGACUGCCGGGGUCAACUCGGAGGAAGGUGGGGAUGACGUCAAAUCAUCAUGCCCCUUAUGUCUUGGGCUUCACGCAUGCUACAAUGGCCGGUACAAAGGGCUGCGAUACCGUAAGGUGGAGCGAAUCCCAAAAAGCCGGUCUCAGUUCGGAUUGGGGUCUGCAACUCGACCCCAUGAAGUCGGAGUCGCUAGUAAUCGCAGAUCAGCAACGCUGCGGUGAAUACGUUCCCGGGCCUUGUACACACCGCCCGUCAAGUCACGAAAGUCGGUAACACCCGAAGCCCAUGGCCCAACCGUUCGCGGGGGGAGUGGUCGAAGGUGGGACUGGCGAUUGGACUAAGUCGAA
rnacentral:rRNA from 1 species